CCUGGCUCAGGAUGAACGCUAGCUACAGGCUUAACACAUGCAAGUCGAGGGGCAGCAUUGGGAUAGCUUGCUAUUCAGAUGGCGACCGGCGCACGGGUGAGUAACGCGUAUCCAACCUUCCUGCCAGUAGGGAACAGCCCGGCGAAAGUCGGAUUAAUGCCCUAUGUUCUUCAAUGCGGACAUCUAAGUUGAAGGAAAGAUUCAUCGCUGGCAGAUGGGGAUGCGUCCGAUUAGCUUGCCGGCGGGUAACGGCCCACCGGGGCGACGAUCGGUAGGGGUUCUGAGAGGAAGGUCCCCACACUGGUACUGAGACACGGACCAGACUCCUACGGGAGGCAGCAGUGAGGAAUAUUGGUCAAUGGGCGUAAGCCUGAACCAGCCAAGUAGCGUGCAGGAAUGACGGCCCUACGGGUUGUAAACUGCUUUUAUGCGGGGAUAAAGUGCGGCACGUGUGCCGCUUUGCAGGUACCGCAUGAAUAAGGACCGGCUAAUUCCGUGCCAGCAGCCGC
rnacentral:rRNA from 1 species